rnacentral:lncRNA from 1 species
CUUUUCUCUUUAAACAAAAGUAUAUGAAAAGUAGAAUUUGAAGAAAAAGUUUCUUGGUCAUGGAAACUUCUUUUAUAUGAAAUAAAUCAUGUUAUACUCAGCUAGAAAUGCUAUCAGUUUGCCUUUAAUCCUACUAACUACUGUGUCUGCUUGGGUUCCUAUUUCUUACAUUGAGAGGUAAAGGGAGGAGAAUGUCCUGUGCCACAGAACAUGUUCAUGACCUCACAAACCACCACCAUUCUCAACUCAGCAAUUUGGGAACCAACUGAUUUGGAAAGACGAUGAUUGUGUGUUAAUUUUCUCCUACUCUGUUAUGUAAAGCCACCCAGAUAAAGAAGAGACAACUUUACUGAUGGAGGAUAUGAACACAGUUCUCCAUCAUCCUUUUGGCAGGCCCUAUGCUCUAUGACACCCUAGCAUAUCCUCACAUCAUCACAGCAUACCAUAGAAACAGAAGUCCUGAGGAGCCCUGAACUGGCCAGGACCCACAUCCUGGAGUGUCUGUCUCAUGAAGGAGAUCAAAAGCAAUCAUGCACACGUGCAUAGAUGCCAAGUGAGUGCUGCAGAAGCCCCACAUGACAAAGAAAUAUGCCAUCUCAUCACCAGCAGGACUUCUGGAUACCCAGACUCUCACGACUUUGUGUUUUUACUGAGUACUUGCUUAUCUCACCUUUAGGAAAGCUGAAGUCCUCAUAUUGCCAUCAAGCCACCAGCUAUCUCUAAAGCCACCCAAAAUCCUCAGAUGUCUUCCAUUGUUCAACACUGAUUUUUGACAUGUACCUAAGUGUCUGUUUCCAAACAGGAACUCUCAUGAAGGACAAGAUGCCACCCUCAGCCUCUCUUCCAGGGAAGGGUUUAGGAUCCCACAUGCCAGAUCACUACAGAUGGAGAGCCCAAGCAAUAAAUACUGUGGGUUGUAGGACUGAGUUUUCAGGAGGUCCCUGCUUCAAUUGCAACACCAGCUUGCAAAAAAAGCCAGCACCAAGCUGUUUCUGAAUCUGGUCUUCCUCUGCAAGCCUGCUGAGAGCAUGGACCCAAAUGAAAGUAAUAAAUGCUUAAGAAAAACAAAAAAAUCGGUUUUG